AACGAACGCUGGCGGCAGGCUUAAUACAUGCAAGUCGAACGCCCCGCAAGGGGAGUGGCAGACGGGUGAGUAACGCGUGGGAACAUACCCUUUCCUGCGGAAUAGCUCUGGGAAACUGGAAUUAAUACCGCAUACGCCCUACGGGGGAAAGAUUUAUCGGGGAAGGAUUGGCCCGCGGUGGAUUAGCUAGUUGGUGGGGUAAAGGCCUACCAAGGCGACGAUCCAUAGCUGGUCUGAGAGGAUGAUCAGCCACAUUGGGACUGAGACACGGCCCAAACUCCUACGGGAGGCGGCAGUGGGGAAUAUUGGACAAUGGGCGCAAGCCUGAUCCAGCCAUGCCGCGUGAGUGACGAAGGCCUUAGGGUUGUAAAGCUCUUUCACCGAUGAAGAUAAUGACGGUAGUCGGAGAAGAAGCCCCGGCUAACUUCGUGCCAGCCGCCGCAGUAAAAC
rnacentral:rRNA from 1 species